rnacentral:snRNA from 1 species
AUACCUUUCUCGACUUUUGACUAAGAUAAAAUGUAGUAUUUAUUUUUAGCACUUUAAUAUCUGAUAUGUGGAUCAUAUGUCCACUUUGAUAUUAAAUUUAUUUUUAUGGAUAUUUUUGUGGGGGAGAAUCCACCAUACUGGCUUGUCAUUUGGCCCUCACAUGCAUGUCUAUGAUCUGUUGCACUGCAAUAUGAUUGUAUGUCGUCGCA